rnacentral:rRNA from 1 species
UGCUAGUUGUGCGGGUUUAGACCCGCAGCGGAAAGCUCAGUAACACGUGGCCAAACUACCCUGUGGAUGGGAACAAUCUCGGGAAACUGAGGCUAAUUCCCAAUAACGCUCCACCCCUGGAACGGGCGGAGCUGGAAACGCUACGGCGCCACAGGAUGUGGCUGCGGUCGAUUAGGUAGACGGUGGGGUAACGGCCCACCGUGCCAAUAAUCGGUACGGGUUGUGAGAGCAAGAGCCCGGAGACGGAAUCUGAGACAAGAUUCCGGGCCCUACGGGGCGCAGCAGGCGCGAAACCUUUACACUGUACGCAAGUGCGAUAAGGGGACUCCGAGUGUGAAGGCAUAGAGCCUUCACUUUUGUACACCGUAAGGUGGUGUACGAAUAAGGGCUGGGCAAGACCGGUGCCAGCCGCCGCGGUAAUACCGGCAGCCCGAGUGAUGGCCGAUAUUAUUGGGCCUAAAGCGUCCGUAGCUGGCCGGACAAGUCCGUUGGGAAAUCUGUUCGCUUAACGAGCAGGCGUCCAGCGGAAACUGUUCGGCUUGGGACCGGAAGACCUGAGGGGUACGUCCGGGGUAGGAGUGAAAUCCUGUAAUCCUGGACGGACCACCGGUGGCGAAAGCGCCUCAGGAGGACGGAUCCGACAGUGAGGGACGAAAGCUAGGGUCUCGAACCGGAUUAGAUACCCGGGUAGUCCUAGCUGUAAACGAUG